GAGCUACGUGCCCGAGAAAUGAAAGUACUUGACAAAGCAAUUACCGUCUUUACACAAUGACAAAUUGCUGGAUAUAGUGAAAAGGAUGGUUAUUCAGCAGGGAAAUUCGCAACUUUGCCCCCAUUUAACCAACUUUCUAUCUCUUAAGUGCCGGGCGAUACUCAUCUCGUCCUUGGACAAUGAGGAACCAGAUUUACGGGCAGACUAUUCUUGACCUACACCAACGGGUAAAAUGGAAUUCUAUCGGCGCUUCGGGAGUGAUUUAAUUUUAACAAGCCUCACCACCUCCCAACCUCAAUUAAAAACCAGCACACACAGAUUUUAAAGAAUCAAUAAAAAAUGUUGUAAGCGAAACUGCUUGGAAUGCUUGGAUGUCUUUGUAGAAGUGUAUAAAGUGCUCAAGGUUUUAAGUAAUGGUAAAGGUAAUGUUUUCCUCUUCCUUUUCUUUUUUUUCAUUUUUAUGACACGCCCUAAUACAAUAUUACGAGUAGGAAACAAUAAAAGGUAAUGAAUAAGUUAUAAUAACCACCAGGUGACUGGCUGCACGACCAGUGCCGUCCUUAGAGGGUGGAGCGAGUGGAGCGGCCGCUCCAGGCCUCGCGCUGAAAAAGGUCUCGCACUAUGAGGCCUUACUCUCGUUAAAAAAUAAAUAUAAGUUUUGGUUGAAUGAAUAUAAUUAAUAAUAUUUUAAUAUAUAAA